rnacentral:rRNA from 1 species
UACAGAGGUCCCGAGCGUUGUUCGGAUUCAUUGGGCGUAAAGGGUGCGUAGGCGGUCGCGCAAGUCGGAUGUGAAAUCUCAGGGCUCAACCCUGAAACUGCAUUCGAUACUGCGUGGCUAGAGUACUGGAGAGGAGACUGGAAUUUACGGUGUAGCAGUGAAAUGCGUAGAUAUCGUAAGGAAGACCAGUGGCGAAGGCGAGUCUCUGGACAGUAACUGACGCUGAGGCACGAAGGCCAGGGGAGCAAACGGG